GGAGAAUCUGCUUGCUGUCCUCUCUGCACUGCUGGUGUGGUACUUCUCUCUUUCUCUGGCUCUCAUGAGAUGUGAACAGAGAGAAGAUCAAUGACUAAGAGCUGCAGCUGUGUAUGCGAUACCUUCCAGAUGACUCAUCCUUUUUUUGACUGAAAAAUGCUCCAGCAGUGACCAGCUGCAGAUGUCUCAGGACCAGGAUAAGAACAGGGCUGAUGUGCACCGAUACUUUCCCAGAAUACUUUUAGCUCUGCAUAGUCAUGCACUGGUGGUGGUAUCUUUCUGUUUAAUGGACCUUGUAGAAGCAGUCCUCUAGAGGCAACCUGAAGUCAGGCACUGUUGUUGAUCCUCAUAUUUUUGGGAAAACUGCAAUAAAGUGAGCCAUUCCAGAUGGUAAAUAUAUGAAUGGAAGAUUAUUAGGCUUCACUGGAUAUUUAUGUAUGGAGUUAAU
rnacentral:lncRNA from 1 species